GGUUAAGCGACUAAGCGUACACGGUGGAUGCCCUGGCAGUCAGAGGCGAUGAAGGACGUGCUAAUCUGCGAUAAGCGUCGGUAAGGUGAUAUGAACCGUUAUAACCGGCGAUUUCCGAAUGGGGAAACCCAGUGUGUUUCGACACACUAUCAUUAACUGAAUCCAUAGGUUAAUGAGGCGAACCGGGGGAACUGAAACAUCUAAGUACCCCGAGGAAAAGAAAUCAACCGAGAUUCCCCCAGUAGCGGCGAGCGAACGGGGAGCAGCCCAGAGCCUGAAUCAGUGUGUGUGUUAGUGGAAGCGUCUGGAAAGGCGCGCGAUACAGGGUGACAGCCCCGUACACAAAAAUGCACAUGCUGUGAGCUCGAUGAGUAGGGCGGGACACGUGGUAUCCUGUCUGAAUAUGGGGGGACCAUCCUCCAAGGCUAAAUACUCCUGACUGACCGAUAGUGAACCAGUACCGUGAGGGAAAGGCGAAAAGAACCCCGGCGAGGGGAGUGAAAAAGAACCUGAAACCGUGUACGUACAAGCAGUGGGAGCACGCUUAGGCGUGUGACUGCGUACCUUUUGUAUAAUGGGUCAGCGACUUAUAUUCUGUAGCAAGGUUAACCGAAUAGGGGAGCCGAAGGGAAACCGAGUCUUAACUGGGCGUUAAGUUGCAGGGUAUAGACCCGAAACCCGGUGAUCUAGCCAUGGGCAGGUUGAAGGUUGGGUAACACUAACUGGAGGACCGAACCGACUAAUGUUGAAAAAUUAGCGGAUGACUUGUGGCUGGGGGUGAAAGGCCAAUCAAACCGGGAGAUAGCUGGUUCUCCCCGAAAGCUAUUUAGGUAGCGCCUCGUGAAUUCAUCUCCGGGGGUAGAGCACUGUUUCGGCAAGGGGGUCAUCCCGACUUACCAACCCGAUGCAAACUGCGAAUACCGGAGAAUGUUAUCACGGGAGACACACGGCGGGUGCUAACGUCCGUCGUGAAGAGGGAAACAACCCAGACCGCCAGCUAAGGUCCCAAAGUCAUGGUUAAGUGGGAAACGAUGUGGGAAGGCCCAGACAGCCAGGAUGUUGGCUUAGAAGCAGCCAUCAUUUAAAGAAAGCGUAAUAGCUCACUGGUCGAGUCGGCCUGCGCGGAAGAUGUAACGGGGCUAAACCAUGCACCGAAGCUGCGGCAGCGACGCUUAUGCGUUGUUGGGUAGGGGAGCGUUCUGUAAGCCUGCGAAGGUGUGCUGUGAGGCAUGCUGGAGGUAUCAGAAGUGCGAAUGCUGACAUAAGUAACGAUAAAGCGGGUGAAAAGCCCGCUCGCCGGAAGACCAAGGGUUCCUGUCCAACGUUAAUCGGGGCAGGGUGAGUCGACCCCUAAGGCGAGGCCGAAAGGCGUAGUCGAUGGGAAACAGGUUAAUAUUCCUGUACUUGGUGUUACUGCGAAGGGGGGACGGAGAAGGCUAUGUUGGCCGGGCGACGGUUGUCCCGGUUUAAGCGUGUAGGCUGGUUUUCCAGGCAAAUCCGGAAAAUCAAGGCUGAGGCGUGAUGACGAGGCACUACGGUGCUGAAGCAACAAAUGCCCUGCUUCCAGGAAAAGCCUCUAAGCAUCAGGUAACAUCAAAUCGUACCCCAAACCGACACAGGUGGUCAGGUAGAGAAUACCAAGGCGCUUGAGAGAACUCGGGUGAAGGAACUAGGCAAAAUGGUGCCGUAACUUCGGGAGAAGGCACGCUGAUAUGUAGGUGAAGUCCCUUGCGGAUGGAGCUGAAAUCAGUCGAAGAUACCAGCUGGCUGCAACUGUUUAUUAAAAACACAGCACUGUGCAAACACGAAAGUGGACGUAUACGGUGUGACGCCUGCCCGGUGCCGGAAGGUUAAUUGAUGGGGUUAGCGCAAGCGAAGCUCUUGAUCGAAGCCCCGGUAAACGGCGGCCGUAACUAUAACGGUCCUAAGGUAGCGAAAUUCCUUGUCGGGUAAGUUCCGACCUGCACGAAUGGCGUAAUGAUGGCCAGGCUGUCUCCACCCGAGACUCAGUGAAAUUGAACUCGCUGUGAAGAUGCAGUGUACCCGCGGCAAGACGGAAAGACCCCGUGAACCUUUACUAUAGCUUGACACUGAACAUUGAGCCUUGAUGUGUAGGAUAGGUGGGAGGCUUUGAAGUGUGGACGCCAGUCUGCAUGGAGCCGACCUUGAAAUACCACCCUUUAAUGUUUGAUGUUCUAACGUUGACCCGUGAUCCGGGUUGCGGACAGUGUCUGGUGGGUAGUUUGACUGGGGCGGUCUCCUCCUAAAGAGUAACGGAGGAGCACGAAGGUUGGCUAAUCCUGGUCGGACAUCAGGAGGUUAGUGCAAUGGCAUAAGCCAGCUUGACUGCGAGCGUGACGGCGCGAGCAGGUGCGAAAGCAGGUCAUAGUGAUCCGGUGGUUCUGAAUGGAAGGGCCAUCGCUCAACGGAUAAAAGGUACUCCGGGGAUAACAGGCUGAUACCGCCCAAGAGUUCAUAUCGACGGCGGUGUUUGGCACCUCGAUGUCGGCUCAUCACAUCCUGGGGCUGAAGUAGGUCCCAAGGGUAUGGCUGUUCGCCAUUUAAAGUGGUACGCGAGCUGGGUUUAGAACGUCGUGAGACAGUUCGGUCCCUAUCUGCCGUGGGCGCUGGAGAAUUGAGGGGGGCUGCUCCUAGUACGAGAGGACCGGAGUGGACGCAUCACUGGUGUUCGGGUUGUCAUGCCAAUGGCACUGCCCGGUAGCUAAAUGCGGAAGAGAUAAGUGCUGAAAGCAUCUAAGCACGAAACUUGCCCCGAGAUGAGUUCUCCCUGACUCCUUGAGAGUCCUGAAGGAACGUUGAAGACGACGACGUUGAUAGGCCGGGUGUGUAAGCGCAGCGAUGCGUUGAGCUAACCGGUACUAAUGAACCGUGAGGCUUAACCUU
rnacentral:rRNA from 1 species